rnacentral:lncRNA from 1 species
AAAAGGGUGUCUCUUUCCCCACAGAUGUAACCAGGUUCCUGUGGAGGACACGGCUUUGCUAAGCCUGCCUGGCUUCUGUGUCCUCCUCUGGGCCUGAGUGCAGAGGGUGAGAGUCCACAUCCCCAGAACCAUGGGGACUGAACAGGAUUACUACAGAGCAGCAAAGAAGUGGGGCACCAAAGGAAAGAGUACACAACACCUUGUGAACACAGAAUUCUGGUGGACCCAGAAUAUGUGGGAGUUCAGUGAGACUUAAAGAGGAAAAGUGUCUUCCAC